AAGCCGGGUUACGGUGCC
rnacentral:snRNA from 1 species